rnacentral:hammerhead_ribozyme from 1 species
AUCCGGAUGACGAGUCUCAAAUAGGACGAAACGCACGUUAUCCUGAAU